ACAUCUGUUCGUGCAGACAUACAGACUGUCAUAAAAUGAUUUGUCAAAAGAAGUAUUUUUCUGCUGAAGUAGUUAUUCGAGAUCACUCGAAGAUGGAUUAUGUCGACAUUGAUGAGAAGAUGAGUGAUGAGAAGAUCGUGACGACGGUGAUAAUUAUGCUUGAGGGCGGAAAAGAUUAUCCAAUUUUCGCCAUCAAGUUGAAUCUUCAGAUGAAGAAUGGCAUCCAAGCACCAGCCAGAGAUGCAAGCUCUCAGUUUCUUCACUAUUCUUCACUUUUUCCAUACUUUUCAGAACAUUGCAAUUGACAAGAGGAUGGUGGCAUCAAAAGCUAGGAAUGGACUAAAGCAAUAUAUGAAGGCCAAGCCAACAAAGUACAGUAUUUAUAUCACUUGUAUUUUCUAUGGCAAAGAACCUCAGUUAUUUAUUUUUUAUAUUUCAUAAUAUUUUACUUAUGUAUUUUACAUAUAUUUUUUUGUUCUGUUGUGCAAAUAAAUCACUUGCAUAAAGUCUAA